UACGAAGGGCGCAAGCGUUGUCCGGAUUUAUUGGGCGUAAAGAGCUCGUAGGCGGCUUGUCGCGUCGACUGUGAAAACCUGCGGCUCAACCGUAUGGUCUGCAGUCGAUACGGGCAGGCUAGAAUUCGGUAGGGGAGAUCGGAAUUCCUGGUGUAGCGGUGAAAUGUGUAGAUAUUCGGAAGAACACCAGUGGCGAAGGCAGCAGAUUGGGCCGGUAUUGACGCUCAGGCACGAAAGCAUGGGGAUCAAACAGG
rnacentral:rRNA from 1 species